AACGGUCCUAAGGUAGCGAAAUUCCUUGUCAGGUAAAUUCUGACCCGCACGAAUGGCGUAACGAUCUUGGGCGCUGUCUCAACGAGAGAUCCGGUGAAAUUUUAGUACCUGUGAAGAUGCAGGUUACCCGCGACGUGACGGAAAGACCCCAUGGAGCUUUACUGUAGCUUGAUAUUGAACUUUGGUACGGUCUGUACAGGAUAGGUGGGAGCCUAUGAAGUGGGAGCGCAAGCUUCCAUGGAGGCGCCGUUGGGAUACCACCCUGAUCGUAUCGGAGUUCUAACCUGUCGCCAUGAAGCUGGCGAAGGGACCGUGUCAGGUGGACAGUUUGACUGGGGCGGUCGCCUCCUAAAAAGUAACGGAGGCGCCCUAAGGUUCCCUCAGAAUGGUUGGAAAUCAUUCGCAGAGUGCAAAGGCAUAAGGGAGCUUGACUGCGAGACCUACAAGUCGAGCAGGGACGAAAGUAGGUCUUAGUGAUCCGGCGGUAGCA
rnacentral:rRNA from 1 species